GCGACAGUCACUGCUGGUUUCUUACCAGCCUGCGCUCUCAUUAAUUCUCACCUUCCCCCGCCCCUGCUGCCCGGCCCCACCACUCGAGGGAGAAGCCAGGUGGCGAGAGGGAAGCAGGAAGCUGAACCCCAUCGUACCCUGGCUUGGCUUGGGGCUCCAGCGCUGAGAUCUGCGGACGCGGGGUUCAGCCAGGUGCGCGGGCUGAAGCUACAACACCGGCGGCAACAGGUGCAGCGCGGCCCGGGCCGGACGCCCGGGGGUGGGGCGGGUACGUACUUAGCCCGGGAGCGCGCGGGGCUUCGGGAUUGGAACCCGGGAGCGCUAGGAAGGCGGGAGCGGAGCACGGUGAGAGCCUCCCCGCGCGCUUCUCUCCAGCUCCGUGGGACGCCGCCCCCUGGCCUUGGUCCCCCGCCGGGAGUCGCGGGAGGGGACCGCUCCAAAGGGGCCGCUCAGCUUUUCUAUUUACAAGUUUCCUCAACUCCCCGCCCUUGCUCCACCCCCUGGCAGCCAGGGAGGCGGGGAGGCUGGUGCUCCUGGACCCUAGGUUCCGCCGCCUGCCGCCCCCCAAGGCUGCGGGUUGGGGUGCCCGGACGAGGUUGCGCGGCCGCAGGUGCAGGAGCCCGCCCCAGCCGGCCUCCUUGGGGUGGGCCGGGGAGCGGCCCCCCGCCUAAGGCCCGAAGCGCGCCGUCCCGGAGCGGCUCGCCGCCCCGCCUCUGCGUCCCCAGUGCGAGGAGAGCUCCGGGCUGGCUGGAGGCGCUGCGGGUAAGUGCGGAACAGAGCAGGUCCCGCUACCCGGUGGGGACGUGGUGGCCACGACUGGCGCGCGGUCACGGGACGAACCUUCGGGGAGGGGGCGGGUACCCCGGGGGGCCUGCGCCCCGAGUGUGGGGAGAGGGUGCAGAGUCCGGGAGGCGGCGGAGCAAGGCAGGUCUCACGUGGGGUCAGUGCCGCUCCUGCGGAAGGGACGGCUGCAGAUCGGCGGCUGUCACCUUGAAAGUGACCGAGGGGUUCCCCCGUGCGCUCCCAUUCGUAGACAGGCAAGCUUGCGUCCUCGGCCGGAAGCCGCCCACUGGGCGCUUGACCGGUGCUCUGAGCCUUCCCGCUGGGCGCUUCACCGGUGCCGGGCUCAGUCGGAGCCAUCAGGGCCGAGAAGGGCGAGAGAUGGGGCGUCCGCGGUUCCCAGCGGCCUCCUGCCCUGCGCGCCUUCCUGCCGCUCGCUGGCCCUUUUCCAGCUCUCCGGCAGCAUGCCCCCUCACAGAGGCCACGGCGUUGGCUAAUGUGAUGAGCAGACCCAAGUGUCCGCCCUCCUCUCCUCAAAGCCUACCCUGGCCUGCUAAGUCCCCAGAAAGAUCCUGA
rnacentral:lncRNA from 1 species